rnacentral:rRNA from 1 species
GUACGCUGGCGGCACGCCUAACACAUGCAAGUCGAACGAAGUAGCAAUACUUAGUGGCGAACGGGUGAGUAUAAUGUGGGUAUCUGCCUUUUGGUUUGGAAUAACACGAGGAAACUUGUGCUAAUACCGGAUAAGCCUUUACAGGGAAAGUUUUAACGCCAAAAGAUGAGCCCGCACUUGAUUAGCUAGUUGGUAAGGUAAUGGCUUACCAAGGCUACGAUCAAUAGCUGAUCUGAGAGGAUGAUCAGCCACAUUGGGACUGAGACACGGCCCAAACUCCUACGGGAGGCAGCAGUGGGGAAUCUUGCACAAUGGGGGAAACCCUGAUGCAGCGAUGCCGCGUGAGUGAAGAAGGCCUUUGGGUUGUAAAGCUCUUUCGUCGGGGAAGAAAAUGACUGUACCCGAAUAAGGAGGUCCGGCUAACUUCGUGCCAGCAGCCGCGGUAAUACGAAGGGACCUAGCGUAGUUCGGAAUUACUGGGCUUAAAGAGCUCGUAGGUGGUUAGAAAAGUUGGUGGUGAAAUCCCAAGGCUUAACCUUGGAACUGCCAUCAAAACUUUUUAACUAGAGUAUGAUAGAGGAAAGUGGAAUUUCUAGUGUAGAGGUGAAAUUCGUAGAUAUUAGAAAGAACACCGAUUGCGAAGGCAGCUUUCUGGAUCAUUACUGACACUGAGGAGCGAAAGCAUGGGUAGCGAAGAGGAUUAGAUACCCUCGUAGUCCAUGCCGUAAACGAUGU